UACGUAGGGACCAAGCGUUGUUCGGAUUUACUGGGCGUAAAGGGCGCGUAGGCGGCUUGACAAGUCACUUGUGAAAUCUCCGGGCUUAACUCGGAACGGCCAAGUGAAACUGUCAUGCUAGAGUGCAGAAGGGGCAAUCGGAAUUCUUGGUGUAGCGGUGAAAUGCGUAGAUAUCAAGAGGAACACCUGAGGUGAAGACGGGUUGCUGGGCUGACACUGACGCUGAGGCGCGAAGGCCAGGGGAGCAAACGGG
rnacentral:rRNA from 1 species